rnacentral:rRNA from 1 species
AUUGAACGCUGGCGGCAUGCCUUACGCAUGCAAGUCGAACGGUAACGCGGGGCAACCUGGCGACGAGUGGCGAACGGGUGAGUAAUGCAUCGGAACGUGCCCGGUAGUGGGGGAUAACUGCUCGAAAGAGCAGCUAAUACCGCAUACGACCUGAGGGUGAAAGGGGGGGAUCGCAAGACCUCUCGCUAUCGGAGCGGCCGAUGUCGGAUUAGCUAGUUGGUGGGGUAAAGGCCCGCCAAGGCAACGAUCCGUAGCUGGUCUGAGAGGACGACCAGCCACACUGGGACUGAGACACGGCCCAGACUCCUACGGGAGGCAGCAGUGGGGAAUUUUGGACAAUGGACGCAAGUCUGAUCCAGCCAUGCCGCGUGCGGGAAGAAGGCCUUCGGGUUGUAAACCGCUUUUGUCAGGGAAGAAAUCUUCUGGGUUAAUACCUCGGGAGGAUGACGGUACCUGAAGAAUAAGCACCGGCUAACUACGUGCCAGCCGCCGCUGUAACAC